AGAGGGAAACAACCCAGAUCAUCAGCUAAGGCCCCUAAAUGUAUGUUAAGUGUGAAACGAUGUGAGAGUGUUCAGACAGCCAGGAGGUUGGCUUAGAAGCAGCCAUUCCUUUAAAGAGUGCGUAACAGCUCACUGGUCGAAUGUUCUCGCGCGGAAGAUGUAACGGGGCUAAAUAUACUGCCGAAGCUAUGGGAUUUUAUUAAUUCUGAUUUCGAUCCAGAAGAUAAAAUCGGUAGGAGAGCGUUGUAUGGACAGCGAAGCGACAACGUGAGUUAGUCGUGGAGACCAUACAAGUGAGAAUGUUGGCAUGAGUAGCGAAGGAAGAGUGAGAAUCUCUUCCGCCGAAUGUCCAAGGGUUCCUGGGGAAGGUUCGUCCGCCCAGGGUUAGUCGGGACCUAAGGCGAGGUCGAGAGACGUAGUCGAUGGAUAACAGAUUGAUAUUUCUGUACCACUAAUAACGCGCCCAAACCGAAUAUAUGUUGCUAAGGAAAGCCCUUCGGGGCCUACCGACCCACAUAUUACUAGGUUAGCAAUGGAGCGACGGAGAAGGAUAGAUGAGCCCAGGUGAUGGUUAUCCUGGGGUAAAUGUGUAGGAAGACUGAUAGGUAAAUCCGUUAGUCACAUAUUCUGAGACAUGAUGCCGAGCCGCUUUUAGGCGAAGUCAUUGAUUCCAUACUUCCAAGAAAAACUUCUAGUUAGUUUUAUUAGUGCCCGUACCCCAAACCGACACAGGUGGACAAGUAGAGAAUACUAAGGCGAGCGAGAGAACUCUGGUUAAGGAACUCGGCAAAAUAGUUCCGUAACUUCGGGAGAAGGAACGCCCAAGUAAAGUGAUUAAUUAACUUUAUAAGCUUGAACGGGCCGCAGUGAUCAGACUCAAGCGACUGUUUAUCAAAAACACAGGAGGAUGCAAAGUUCUAAUACAACGUAUAUCCUCUGACACCUGCCCGGUGCUGGAAGGUUAAGUGGAGAGGUUAGCUUCGGCGAAGCUUUGAAAUUAAGCCCCAGUAAACGGCGGCCGUAACUAUAACGGUCCUAAGGUAGCGAAAUUCCUUGUCGGGUAAGUUCCGACCUGCACGAAUGGUGUAACGAUUUGAGUACUGUCUCAACCAGAGACUCGGCGAAAUUGCAAUGUGAGUAAAGAUGCUCACUAUGCGCGACAGGACGGAAAGACCCCGGAACCUUUACUGCAACUUGAUAUUGAAUGUUGGUAUGCAGUAUGCAGGAUAAGUGGGAGGCUUUGAAACAAUGGCGCUAGUCAUUGUGGAGCCAACCUUGAGAUACCACUUUCUUCAUAUUGA
rnacentral:rRNA from 1 species